rnacentral:rRNA from 1 species
GAGCUUGCUCUUUUGCUGACGAGUGGCGCACGGGUGAGUAACGCGUAUACAAUCUACCUUUUACAGGGGGAUAGCCUUUAGAAAUGAAGAUUAAUAUCCCAUAGUAAGUUAUCAUUGCAUGAUAGUAACUUUAAAGUUUCGGCGGUAAAAGAUGAGUAUGCGUUCUAUUAGCUAGAUGGUGUGGUAACGGCACACCAUGGCAACGAUAGAUAGGGGCCCUGAGAGGGGGAUCCCCCACACUGGUACUGAGACACGGACCAGACUCCUACGGGAGGCAGCAGUGAGGAAUAUUGGACAAUGGGCGCGAGCCUGAUCCAGCCAUGCCGCGUGCAGGAAGACUGCCCUAUGGGUUGUAAACUGCUUUUAUACAGGAAGAAACCUUUUCACGUGUGAAAAGCUGACGGUACUGUAAGAAUAAGGAUCGGCUAACUCCGUGCCAGCAGCCGCGGUAAUACGGAGGAUCCAAGCGUUAUCCGGAAUCAUUGGGUUUAAAGGGUCCGUAGGUGGAUAAUUAAGUCAGGGGUGAAAGUUUGCAGCUCAACUGUAAAAUUGCCUUUGAUACUGGUUAUCUUGAAUUAUUGUGAAGUGGUUAGAAUAUGUAGUGUAGCGGUGAAAUGCAUAGAUAUUACAUAGAAUACCAAUUGCGAAGGCAGAUCACUAACAAUAUAUUGACACUGAUGGACGAAAGCGUGGGGAGCGAACAGGAUUAGAUACCCUGGUAGUCCACGCCGUAAACGAUGGAUACUAGCUGUUCGGACUUCGGUCUGAGUGGCUAAGCGAAAGUGAUAAGUAUCCCACCUGGGGAGUACGUUCGCAAGAAUGAAACUCAAAGGAAUUGACGGGGGCCCGCACAAGCGGUGGAGCAUGUGGUUUAAUUCGAUGAUACGCGAGGAACCUUACCAGGGCUUAAAUGUAGAUUGCAUUAGGUGGAGACACUUAUUUCUUCGGACUAUCUACAAGGUGCUGCAUGGUUGUCGUCAGCUCGUGCCGUGAGGUGUCAGGUUAAGUCCUAUAACGAGCGCAACCCCUGUUGUUAGUUGCCAGCGAGUCAUGUCGGGAACUCUAACAAGACUGCCAGUGCAACUGUGAGGAAAGGUGGGGAUGACGUCAAUCAUCACGGCC